rnacentral:misc_RNA from 1 species
AGCAUUGCGAUUCCCACCGGAAUGAACUGUCACGUGACUGUCAUCCCAUUGGGGAUGUCAUUAUAAAAAGCGUAGCGACACAAUUCAAAAGAGAGUAAUCGUUACCAGUUAGAAUAAAAGAGAGUAAUCGUUACCAGUUCGAAUAUAGUCAGAGAGUGUUAGCGGGUCAGUUGAAUAAAGGAAUAGAGAGAAGUAAUUGUUAGCGGGUCAGUUGAAUGAAGGAAUAGCAAAGAGUAAUUGUUAGCG